rnacentral:rRNA from 1 species
AUCUUUUGAAACUUCAUCGUGCUGGGGAUAGAGCUUUGCAAUUAUUGCUCUUGAACGAGGAAUCCCUAGUAAGUACAAGUCAUCAGCUUGUGCUGAUUACGUCCCUGCCCUUUGUACACACCGCCCGUCGCUACUACCGAUUGAAUGGCUUAGUGAGGCCCUCGGAUUGAGGUUCGAAGACUGGCAACAGACUUUGGAUUUUGAAAAGUUGGUCAAACUUGGUCAUUUAGAGGAAGUAAAAGUCGUAACAAGGUUUCCGUAGGUGAACCUGCGGAAGGAUCAUUACCAAUUUUAGCGAGCCUGGUCUUUGUUGACCAUGGUUUCGUGAAAAAUCGUUUUUAAACCCCCUCUCUUAUAAAAUUUGAAUCAU